GACGAACGCUGGCGGCGUGCUUAACACAUGCAAGUCGAACGGUAAGGCCCUUCGGGGUACACGAGUGGCGAACGGGUGAGUAACAAGUGGGUGAUCUGCCCUGCACUUUGGGAUAAGCCUGGGAAACUGGGUCUAAUACCGGAGAGGACCCUGCGCUUUACGGCGGGUGGUGGAAAGCUUUUGCGGGGUGGGAUGGGGCCGCGGCCUAUUAGCUUGUUGGUGGGGUAAUGGCCUACCAAGGCGACGACGGGUAGCCGGCCUGAGAGGGUGACCGGCCACACUGGGACUGAGAUACGGCCCAGACUCCUACGGGAGGCAGCAGUGGGGAAUAUUGCACAAUGGGCGCAAGCCUGAUGCAGCGACGCCGCGUGAGGGAUGACGGCCUUCGGGUUGUAAACCUCUUUCAGUAGGGACGAAGCGCAAGUGACGGUACCUACAGAAGAGGGACCGGCCAACUACGUGCCAGCAGCCGCGGUAA
rnacentral:rRNA from 1 species